rnacentral:rRNA from 1 species
AUUGAACGCUGGCGGCAUGCUUUACACAUGCAAGUCGAACGGUAACAGGCCUUCGGGCGCUGACGAGUGGCGAACGGGUGAGUAAUGCAUCGGAACGUGCCCGGUCGUGGGGGAUAACUAUCCGAAAGGAUAGCUAAUACCGCAUACGAUCUGCGGAUGAAAGCGGGGGACCUUCGGGCCUCGCGCGAUUGGAGCGGCCGAUGUCAGAUUAGGUAGUUGGUGGGGUAAAGGCUCACCAAGCCAACGAUCUGUAGCUGGUCUGAGAGGACGACCAGCCACACUGGGACUGGGACACGGCCGAGACUCCUACGGGAGGCAGCAGUGGGGAAUUUUGGACAAUGGGCGCAAGCCUGAUCCAGCAAUGCCGCGUGCAGGAAGAAGGCCUUCGGGUUGUAAACUGCUUUUGUACGGAACGAAACGGCUCUGGUUAAUACCCGGGGCUAAUGACGGUACCGUAAGAAUAAGCACCGGCUAACUACGUGCCAGCCGCCGCCGUAAAAC